AAUCAACGCUGGCGGCGUGCCUCAGACAUGCAAGUCGAACGAUUAAGACUUCCUUCGGGAAGUGCAUAAAGUGGCGCACGGGUGAGUAACACGUAAGUAAUCUACCCUCGAGUGGGGAAUAACGUUCGGAAACGAACGCUAAUACCGCAUAACGCAGCGGCACCGCAAGGUGACAGUUGUUAAUGGAGCAAUCCGCUUGAGGAGGAGCUUGCGGCAGAUUAGCUAGUUGGUAAGGUAAUGGCUUACCAAGGCUACGAUCUGUAUCCGGUCUAAGAGGACGGUCGGACACACUGACACUGAAUAACGGGUCAGACUCCUACGGGAGGCAGCAGUCGGGAAUUUUGGGCAAUGGGCGAAAGCCUGACCCAGCAACGCCGCGUGAAGGAUGAAGUAUUUCGGUAUGUAAACUUCGAAAGAAUGGGAAGAAUAAAUGACGGUACCAUUUAUAAGCUCCGGCUAACUACGUGCCAGCCGCCGCUGUAAGAC
rnacentral:rRNA from 1 species